AAUCAACGCUGGCGGCGUGCCUAACACAUGCAAGUCGAACGCGAAAGGGGCUUCGGCCCUGAGUAGAGUGGCGUCCGGGUGAGUAACGCGUGGGUAAUCUACCCUCGGGUGGGGAAUAACCAAUCGAAAGAUUGGCUAAUACCGCAUAAUGUAGCGGCUCGACAUCGAGACAGUUGUUAAAGCAGCAAUGCGCCAGAGGAGGAGCCUGCGUCUGAUUAGCUUGUUGGCGGGGUAACGGCCCACCAAGGCUACGAUCAGUAGCUGGUCUGAGAGGACGGCCAGCCACAAUGGCACUGAACACGGGCCAUACUCCUACGGAGGCAGCGAGUGGGGAAUUUUGUCGCAAUGGGCGAAAGACCUGACGCAGCAACGCCGCGUGAAGGAUGAAAUCCUU
rnacentral:rRNA from 1 species